rnacentral:ncRNA from 19 species
AAAAUAAAUAUGGCAAUGGCCUGUAUAAUUGGGGGAAUAGGGCUCCCAAGUUUCUACCGGGCAACCGUAAAUUGCCCUGGCUACAGCCUGAAAGUGUACCUCA